CUACGCAGUAAGGGCCCAGGGAACCCAACCGGGCCGGGCAGAUGAGCAGGAGCUACGCAGUAAGGGCCCAGGGAACCCAACCGGGCCGGGCAGAUGAGCAGGAGCUGCACAGCAAGGGCCCGGGGAACCCAACCGGGCCGGGCAGAUGAGCAGGAGCUGCGCAGCAAGGGCCCAGGGAACCCAACCGGGCCGGGCAGAUGAGCAGGAGCUGCGCAGCAAGGGCUGGGGGAGCGCUGGGCGCCUUCUUCCUCAGGUUCAUCACUUUUUGCUGCCCGCUCUGAUCUUCCAGAAGCAUCAUUAAAUGAAUUGUUCAACCUCUGGAAAUCUCAUGGAGUGCAUUUUAUGAACAGCACAUCUUGUAGAAAUGCCAUCCUGAAUUCAAACAGAGCCCUGAGACAGAGAGCUCAGGUGGACACCAACAUUCCCUAAAGAGUUGGAGUCUAAAAAUCAUCUUCUGUGGAAAUAUUUUUGAUGCCUGGUAGCCUUUGACUGGCAAUAAAGUCCUGGCAUUGAGUGGAGAGUCGUUUGGACACUUUCCCUGCUGCUUUUCCUAGAGGAAAAUGAGUCUUAAGGAGCACACUGCAAUACUGUUGCAAGCUUCAUUCUUCGUUCCUGGCAGCCAGCAGAAAUCCCUUCAUAUAUAUAUAUAUACACAAAGAAAGGCAAAAGUUAGUGUUUUAUUUAAACCCAAAGACACUCCACAGCCUUUAUGCCUCUUCUCCUUACAAACCCUGAAGCAACUGAAUUUGUAGAGCCUGGAUCAGAAAUGCCAUCUGCUGAGCUCUGCUCUCAGCCAUUAUCUGUCCUCGCUGAGCUGCUGCUGUUGCUGCAAGGAGUUUCCUCUUGCUUUUGGCUACCAGGGCUGGAAUCUGCCUUAAGAGGCACAAGGAACAGUCAGGGUAAAACAGAGCACAAAAGUGAAACUUGAAAAAUGGAUCUGCAAACAUGGCCAGGGUGUUGUGUUUGCAAAUGUUUAGUUUUGAUCACGAGCUUUUCCCUUUUCAUCCCUCCUGCCUCCUCCUCCUCCUCCUCCUGCCUCAUCCCUCACUGUCUCCCUCCCUGAAUAACUCUGCAGCUCUCAGUAUUCUCCAGCACUAAAUUGGUUUUUAAUGUGUUCUGCAGCAGUCCUGCAUUAGACAGAGGUUCAGGGAAGUUUCAUGUAUUGUGUCCUUUAAACACCAGUUGCAAAG